rnacentral:misc_RNA from 1 species
GAUGGAACCGCCAGCAUCAUAUCGGCUCUUCUCUUUGUUGCCUUCGUUGUUUUAUCCGUUCUCACCAUUGGGGUAAUAUAUUUGGGAGUGACUGAUUUCUUGGAAAAGAGGCAGACAGAGAAGUUUGAGAAAGAAGAAACGGCCAAGAAGAAUAAGAAUGGGAAGAAAAUAAAGGUGAGAGCCGAUAUGAUGCUGGCGGUUCCAUC